GGUCUCAGAAUACAAAUGAUAAGCUGUGUUUACACAGUUUCCCAGGAGCUCAAAGUGCUUGGUAGACUAGUUUUUCUGUAUUGUGAAUAAUUCUUACACUGAACUCAUUAUUAUUGACUCUAUCUUGCUGCCAUGGAGACUAAAACACAAAAAGAAGUGGCUGGUUUGUGGUAACGAAGACAACAGGACACACAGAUCCGCUUGGUGCAAGUGCAAAAGAAACCACAGAUGGAAGCUCACAGAUGGAAGCCCGCUGAUCAUACAGCUGUUUCUUUGUUGCCUUCUGCCAUCCACUGUGAGAGACAUAUGCCCUGGACUGCUAUUUGUUCAAGUGGAGUGAGAAAAUGCACGGAGCAGACCUAAAUACAUCACUUCCGUGAAGUCCAACCAAUCAUAGCUGAGCCCCUCGGAGCUGUAUCUCACCCAAUGACUUGUCAUCAGUGCUGUGAGCCACCAAGCUCUGCAGUGGUUUGUUACAGAGCAUUACUACGGUAAAAACAACUCAUAUGUGCCUUCUAUUCCUAGUUGGCUAAGAGGUGUUAGUAUAAAUAGGCUUUGAACUUUAUCAAAUACUUUAUCUGCAUUUAUUGAGAUGAUAAAGUAGUUUCCUCCCUUAUUCUAUUUGUGUGGUAAAUUUAUGUUGUUUGAUUUUUAAAUGUUAGAAAAAUUCUGCAUUCCUGGAUUUUAUAGAAGGAACCAGCUGUGUACUGAAGUAUUAUUCUUUUUAGGCUUUACGGGAUUUCACUUGCUUAUUGAUGUAUUUAUUUUAUUUGUGCAUCUAUGUUCAUGAGAGAGAUUGGCCUGUCAAUUUUCUGUGUCGUAUUGUCAUUAUCUGGUUGUGUUACCAAUGUUCUGUCAUUCUUUGGGAAAGUUUGGGUAAGACUGGAAAUUGUUUCUUUCUUGAAUAGUAUAUUCACAGCAUUCUUUAAUAAAGACGUGUAGGCCUAAGUUUUCUUCGAGGAAAUAUUUAUGACUACUCAUUUUUUAAAUUGUUAUUAUGGACUAUUCAAGAUUUCUAUUUCUUUUCGAGUGAGUUUAGUUAAAGGGAAGUUGCCUUUGCAUUUGUCAGAUACCUGAGGUUCUAUUAUUUGGGUUGCCUCAAACCAAGUUCAGGGUCCCUGGAAUAGCUCGGGUGGCAUAGCCUAGGUCCAGAUUUGUGCUACGGUUGUUCCGAAGCUAAGUCUCUCAGGGACGGCUUCUUGCCCUUUUCCCUUGGGUUUCCUCUUCAGCUCCACGUGGCGCCAAGACAGCUCUCCCUGCAGUUCACCAGGGUUGAGAGGAAGUGGGUCAAAUCUAGGUCUUUACCCUAAGCUGAGGAGUCAGGUCCUUGGGACCUCACCUCAGCAGAGAGAAAUUCCUUGUAAGUCUCCCCACUCCAGACAGAGCCUGGGCCUCUGAACUCUCUCUCCCUGGCCUAGCUGGAAGCAGAAUUUAAAUAUUUGAUUUCCAGACAAAAGCAGCUUUUGAAACUUCAACACUCUUAUCCUUCUGAUUAUAGACUUUCACCCAAAAAUUGGCCAAGGAGUUCUCCUCUGCCUUAUUGGAUCUGUAUUGGGAAAGAACCAGAGUCAGGUCAAAAUUACAUGCAGAGGAGGUGAGAAAAUUUAAGAUUUUUCUGAAAGGAAUUAGGCCUGUGGUUCUUGAUGUUUUCUGGUAAUGAUAAAUAGGAGGCAUUUUGGGCUUCUGCUUUCUUUUUACUCCUGUGAAUGAUAUGCUCCUUAUUCCAUUUUCUGACCCACCUUCAGCAAAAAUAUUAAGAAUCCCUCCUUCCAGGACAGACCGUCCUUUCAAUUGGGAGUGCAGGACAAGCAGCAAAAGAACCAUCCCACCAGCGACAAGUCCCUGUGGGAAUCAGCUAGAAUUUUCUAGGAUAACUUUAUACGCGUUAAAAGGAUAAGGACAUCUAGGUACACAUCUAGAUUUUUUUUUUUUAAAUUACGUUUGCUGGCAAUGAUAGCAGUCAGACCCUUCCAGAUAAAAUUGCUUAAGGUCACUGUAUAAGAAAAAAUACUGAGCUGGAUAAAUCUUUGGACUAUCUGAGAGUGGUAUUUCUUAUUAGAAUCUAGCCAGGUAAUCACCUCCAAAAGUUUGUAUUUUUCUUCAAAUAAAGAUCUCUUUCUGAGCACUGCUUGUCCUCCUGGCUGCAUGGUUUGGCUUCUUAGUCUAAGCUAUUUAUUUUUACUUUGCCUUUUCACAGAAGUCUCCUAUAUGUUUCUUCCCUCUACUUGAUAGAGGCUUUCCUCAUGUCUAUACAGAAGGAGCUGUGAUAUUUGGGGUGCACGGUUCAACAGUAAGAAAGAAGAUAGUAAUCUAAUUUAAUAAGCAGAGCUGCUAAUAGCUUUCUGGUAAAUCUGGAAUUUCUCCCUUCCCCCACUAGAUAUGCCAGGAGGCACCUCCGGAUGAUGGAGAUGAUGACUGAUGAUAUGGCAAUGCCUUCUAGGUCCAUCUGUCACAUGCAAACUCAGUUCAGCGCUGCUCCACGUGCGCUCGAUGUGACCUCUGAGAUUGGAGUUUGGCUGUGCUCCAAGGCCUCUUUCUGGCUUCUGUCCUGGUGUUUUAUAUAUGAUCUGCAGGUGUUACUGAUAUAAUUUGUCCAGGAGUUAUAGAUGAUGUCAUGCUUACUAACCUAGAUUUUCCUGCAGUCAGUGUAAUACAAGAAAAACCCUAAAAGUGGAAUCACUGAUGAUUACAUAAUAAAAUAACAUCCUAGAAACAGCUUUGCGUGCCUGUUAUGAGAUGAGAGCAUAUGGUUAUCUCUGAUUUAGAUUUGCUUUUGAGAAUUAAUUUAAUUUGGAAUGAGAGAUCCAGGCCAGCCUUCAGAAUGAAACAUAUGAUUAUAAUUUUAGAAUUAUGAAGAGAGAUGAUUCAAUUGUGGAUUGUGGAGAUAAAGUGUUUUGAAGGAGUUAGAGAAGGGUAGAGGACAGUCUUGACUGGAGAUGGUAUGAUCCGAGCAGAUGCUAUGGACUGAAAUUGAGGACGAGUUUUAACCACAUUGAAUGAAAGUCCGUUUGCCAGGGCUGUUGUGUUGACUCGUGAAAUUCAUUCCAAGCACUUUGAACAUCUACUGUUUCUGCCUUCUUUCCUAAAAUCAAUCUAGGUGGAUGGACUAUACCAAGCCACAUAUCAGUAAAGAAGAGGGACUCUUGGGAAUAUAAUAUGACUAUAAAAUGGCUUCAUUUGGGAAUUUUAAUGUAUCUAUAUUUAUAAUAAGAAAAAUGUCAAAGCAAACUAACAAAUUACCUCAGUGUAAAUUGUAAGUUUGCUUGCUUCUAUGAUUUGCCCAUAACUAAACAAAAAUGGGAUGAGAAAAAGGGCUUUGGGAUCCUUGGAGUUAAGAAGAUUUAUGACAACUCCCAUCCUGGUUACAUAAUGAUCUCUCUCCUUCCGAAGAGCUAUGAGGAGUGUGGUGAAAAAUUCAGGAAAGCUGAAUUCAAUGAAAUGUUCUAGAAGAUGAGCCAGGACAUUGGACUAGUUGUGGAUGCUUUCUGUCCCUAAGAUUUCUCAUCUUCGUUUUUAGUCCUCUCAUUCUUCAGCUAGCUUGUAGACAAAAAUAUUUCCUCAUGAAAAUGGUUUUUAUCACUCAAAAAAAAAAAGGGAUAUUCCCAGUUGUAGAAG